UGUAAGCGUAUACCAAAGUUGUUGCAGUUAAAACGCUCGUAGUCGGAAUUUGGCAGUUCCGGAUGUGUGCACGUCGUGUGCGCACUUCGCGGGGAUUGCUUUUGUGGUCUUGCGUAGGAUUAGGCACUUUUAUUAGUGAACGUCCUCACGCAACCACUUUUUACUGUGAGAAAAUCAGAGUGCUCAAAGCAGGCAUUUGCCGUGAAUGUAUUAGCAUGGAAUAAUAGAAUAGGACUUGGUUCUAUUUUGUUGGUUUGUUGGGACUGAGUAAUGAUUAAGAGGGACAGUUGGGGGCAUUUGUAUUUCGGUGCUAGAGGUGAAAUUCUUAGAUUACCGAAAGACAAACUGCUGCGAAAGCGUCUGCCAAGGAUGUUUUCAUUGA
rnacentral:rRNA from 1 species